UACGAAGGGGGCUAGCGUCGUUCGGAAUUACUGGGCGUAAAGGGCGCGUAGGCGGCGUGUCAAGUCAGGCGUGAAAGCCCCGGGCUCAACCUGGGAACCGCGCUUGAGACUGGCAUGCUCGAGUUCGGGAGAGGAUGGUGGAAUUCCCAGUGUAGAGGUGAAAUUCGUAGAUAUUGGGAAGAACACCGAUGGCGAAGGCAGCCAUCUGGACCGACACUGACGCUGAGGCGCGAAAGCGUGGGGAGCAAACAGG
rnacentral:rRNA from 1 species